UCAAACUCAUGGAGAUCUGCCUGCCUCUGC
rnacentral:piRNA from 1 species